GUCAGGUUUCUGUGCUUUUUCUAAGGAGCUUUAGGCUCGCAAAAAGGGUCUCCUCGCGCCAUAAUUUCUUUGGCUAGGGUAUUGUUGCAUACUGCCUUCAUAGAGACAAACGGGACAGUGCCAUGAGGGUUCUCCCUAAAAGCAGAACUUGAGGUUUACAGCGUCUCGGACAUUGUUCUGCUGUCGGUUCACCUGCACAGGUGGCUUCAGCACUCGCUGCACUUUUCAACCUGCCAGAGCAGUAAGGGGAGACAACGGGAUGCUGUUCAGGCUGCACAAUCAAAGCAACGGUCUUUGGGGUUAUUCCAGAGGCCACCAAGUCACUCAGCCCUCGAGUCCAAUGCUCUCAGCAACCAGAAUACCAGGGAGGCCAGGGGAGCCAGGGGAACAAGGAGGGUCUGUGGGAGAUGGAGGAGGUGGGCUCUGGAGGUCCUACCCAUCCUGCCCUUCACUGCCACCAUUACACUGAGUCUCCAUUUCUUCUUUAUAUGUAAGUAGGCAGUGCCACCUGUUUGGAAGCGUGUGUGUGUGUGUGUGCAGCCACUUGGCUGCCGAUCAAACCCUCCCUUUUUAUAAACCGUCUUAUAAGCGAUGAUUCAAUUAAUGUUUUUAUUUUAAACAGGGUAACAAUAAUGUGUUUGGCUCCAAGCUCCGCCCCUUCAGUGUUCUACCUUGGUGGCGGCGUGGGAUUUGUCAACAUGAGCUUCUCAUUGGACCUGACUAACCCCGCCUCUCCAUAGUAUCGCCUCCAGGCUCAGGCUCUAAGCAAUUAAGUUAAUGUUAUUAUCCUUGACCAAUCCCAUCCUGUCCUUUGGUUAGUCCUGUCCCAGCCUUUCCCUGAUCUUGUCCUAUCCUCUCCCAACCUGUCCUAACCUGUCCUUGUCCUAUCCUGACCUUGUCCUAUCCUAUCUUCUCCUAACUAGUCCUUGGGUUUGUCCUAUCCUGACCUUGUCCUAUCCUAUCCUCUCCUAACUAGUCCUUGGGAUUGUCCUAUCCUGACCUUGUCCUAUCCUAUCAUCUCCUAACUUGUCCUUGGGUUUGUCCUAUCCUGACCUUGUCCUAUCCUAUCCUCUCCUAACUAGUCCUUGGGUUUGUCCUAUCCUGACUUGUCCUAUCCUAUUCUCUCCUAACUAGUCCUUGGGUUUGUCCUAUCCUGACCUUGUCCUAUCCUAUCCUCUCCUAACUAGUCCUUGGGUUUGUCAUAUCCUGACCUUGUCCUAUCCUCUCCUAACCUGUCCUAGCCUGUCCUUGUCCUAUCUUGACCAUGUCCUAUCCUAACCUGACCUUGUCCUAGCCUGUCCUUGUCCUGUCCUUUGGUUGGUCCUGUCCUUGUCCUAUCCUCUACCAACCUGUCCUUGGAUUUGUCCUUUCCUGUCCUAUCCUACCCUUGUCCUAUCCUAUCCUCUCCUAACCUGUCCUUGUCUCAUCCUGUCCUUGUUCUAUCCUCUCCUAACCUGUCCUUGUCUCAUCCUGUCCUUGUCCUAUCAAGUCCAUGUCCUAUCCUAUCCUAACCUGUAAUUUUCCUAUCCUGUCCUUUGGUUUGUCCUGUCCUAGCCUUGGCAGGUACUUGUCCUAUCCUAUCCUGUCGCUUCGAUCAAACCGACAACGUCAUUGCGCAAAAUAGUAUGCAGCAUCAUCUGGAUGUGUUUGCAACAAAAGUUCAGCAUUCACAUUCUGCUACCAUUUCUGUCAAGUCAUCUACAAAUACAGUUUGACACAUACAUUAAUUAAAUCCAAAACAUGUCCUUGUCAUGUCCUUGUCCUGUCCUAUCCUUCCCUUGUCCCAUCAUAUCCUAUCCUAACCUGUCAUUAUCCUAUUCUGUCCCAUCUUUGUCCUGUCCUUGUCCUGUCCUAUCCUGUGAUGCUCUCAGAGGAUGCUUCCCUCUCUCACUCUCUCAGAAUGUCAGUCUAGAUUAGAACAUUUUAGAGCAUACUGAAUGCUAUGCAUCUAUUUGGCAUUUUAAAGAAUUGUGUUGGCACUGGUACUGAUUCCACUCAGGAAGGCUGCUGGUUUCUCUUUCCCUUCUCCACUCCCAUCUUUCUCUCCCCACAACCACUUCUUCCUUCUCUGUGUCUCAGUGUUGAAUGUAAAGCGGGUGUGUAACAGGAUCCCAGGUCUGUGUGUGUUAGUUCUGGGGGUCCGAGGCCCCUAGGAACGGGUCCCUUUUCAGCGACGAGGAGGAAGCCCAGCAUAAGCUCAGCGUAUGCGUGUACAGCAGGGCCUAGGCAGCUGGAGUGAGAGGAAGAAACAUUGUCUGUGUGGCUUUCACACAAUUAGCUGCUCUGUGUCUCACUGCCUGAGACAGAAAGAGAGACCGAGAGAGACAGAGAGAGACAGAGACCGAGAGAGACAGACAGAGAGACAGAGAAAGAGAGACCGAGACCACUGCUAGACAGAGGAGGAUAGAUAGAUAGGAGUAAGAGAUGGAGAGAGGGGAAGGGAUUGUGAGGGAAGAGUGAGGAGAGAGAGAGGGGAAGGGAAGGGAUUGGGAGGACUGAGGGAAGAGUAAGGAGAGAGAAGUGAGGGAGGAAUGAGGAGAGAGAAGUGAGGGUAUUUCUGCUAUUUGGCUGUAAUGGACCCUGUGGUGUAGUUAGUGGGGCGUUGUGCUGGUCUCUGUUACCGUAUUAGGUCUCUCUUGAUUAAACCCAGGGCCACACCCCUACCACCCUGUCUCAGGGUCUCCCUCUACAUGGCUGCCUGGGAGAUAUGGAGAACAUGGACCUCUGUGCUGCCCAAAUCAAUCACACACAGACAUACGCAUGGGCGUGCAUACACACACACACACACACACACACACACACACACACACACAAGAAAGAACAGGGCUUUUGUGUUCAGGUUGCAGGUUCCUCUAGGUGUUCUAGUGUUGUGAUGUCACUGUGACAUCACAUCACUGUCACGUUCAGUAGGAAAAUUGAAUGAAUAAUUUAAAUUAAAGGCUUUUGAUAUUGUUCAGGAAUUAGUGUCUUCAGGUGAGCCCUUGAUGUGAAACACCAUGAAACACUUCCUGAAAAGAAUCACUGUUAAUGUAUAUAGUACCUUUGUAAAUGUGUGUGUGUGUGUGUGUGUGUGUGUGUGUGUGUGUGUGUGUGUGUGUUUGUGUUUGUGUUUUGAGCAGGGCUGAACUUGUUCUACUGGAGUAAGUUCUCAGCCCGGACGGUGUUGCCAUGGAUAUCCUGCACGUGUGCAUCGGUGUCUCCCUUUUCACCAACAAGCUGUACAGCCGCAACGAGGACCAAUACUACUGGAGAGAGAUGGCAACACACUCAACCUGCCAGAUACUGGAGUUGCUGUAAACUCUCUCUGGACUACAUCUCCCAGAAUCCUUUAGUAGUGUAGGCCCUUUAAACUCUGUUCUUUAUCUCUGUGCAGGUUUACUCUGAUGGCUAUGAUUCAGAAGACAAGGCAGAUAAAAUCAAGAACUCCAACUCCCUGCAGAACUCUCUACAGAGGGUUAAGUGGCAGCUGGGGUUCAAGAUGAGGGAGUCAGUAUCAUUCUUUAAACAUCAUUAUACAGACAUGGUCCUUUAUCAGACACUUCACCCAAAGACAAUUCCAGUUAACAUAAUGUGCUAGUAACAUGUAUGGUAUAACAUAGUGACCUAUACAUGUGAGAACCCACAACCUUGGUGGUGCAAACCCCACACUCCAACCGAUCUUUCCCUCUCCAUGAUGGUGAAGGGUGAUUCAUCACUCCAGAGAACGCGUUUCCACUGCUCCAGAGUCCAAUGGAGGCGAGCUUUACACCACUCUAGCCAACGCUUGGCAUUGCACAUGGUGAUCUUAGGCUUGUGUGCGGCUGCUCUGCCAUGGAAACUCAUUUCAUGAAGCUCCCAACGAAUAGUUAUUGUGUUGACGUUGCUUCCAGAGGCAGUGAGUGUUGCAACCGAGGACAGACGCGUGUCAGCACUCAGCUGUGAGCUUGUGAUGCCUACCACUUCGCAGCUGAGCCGUUGUUGCGCCUAGACAUUUCCACUUUACAAUAACAGCACUUAAAAAGUUGACCAGGUCAGCUUUAGCAGGACAGAAAUUUGACGAACUUACUUGUUGGAAAGGUGGCAGACUCCCGUUCCACCGCUAACUAGCUAGCCAUUUCACAUCGGUUACAAAGGCACACAUGUUAAUUGAAAUGCAUUCCAGGUGACUACCUCAUGAAGCUGGUUGAGGGAAUGCCAAGAGUGUGCAAAGUUGUCAUCAAGGCAAGGGGUGGCUAUUUGAAGAAUCUCAAAUAUAAAAUACAUUUUGAUUUGUUGAACACUUUUUUGGUUACUACAUGAUUCCAUAUGUGUUAUUAUAUAGUUUUGAUGUCUUCACUACUAUUCUACAAUGAAGAAAACAGUAACAAUAAAGAAAAACCCUUGAAGGAGUAGGUGUUCUAAAACUUUUGACCGGUAGUGUAUGCUGUUGUAUAGUGCAUGUCUCUGUAUAGUACAUGUCUUUGUAUAGUAUGUCUCUGUAUAGUACAUGUCUUUGUAUAGUAUGUCUCUGUAUAGUAUAUGUCUUUGUAUAGUAUGUCUCUGUAUAGUACAUGUCUCUGUAUAGUACAUGUCUUUGUAUAGUACAUGUCUCUGUAUAGUACAUGUCUCUGUAUAGUACAUGUCUCUGUGUAGUACAUGUCUCUGUAUAGUACAUGUCUUUGUAUAGUACAUGUCUCUGUAUAGUAUAUGUCUUUGUAUAGUACAUGUCUCUGUAUAGUACAUGUCUCUGUAUAGUACAUGUCUUUGUAUAGUACAUGUCUCUGUAUAGUACAUGUCUCU
rnacentral:lncRNA from 13 species